rnacentral:rRNA from 1 species
CCUUUCCACGGUUUCUGUGUCGUAGCUAACGCAUUAAGCGCCCCGCCUGGGGAGUACGGCCGCAAGGCUAAAACUCAAAGGAAUUGACGGGGGCCCCGCACAAGCGGCGGAGCAUGCGGAUUAAUUCGAUGCAACGCGAAGAACCUUACCAAGGCUUGACAUACACCGGAAACGGCCAGAGAUGGUCGCCCCCUUGUGGUCGGUGUACAGGUGGUGCAUGGUUGUCGUCAGCUCGUGUCGUGAGAUGUUGGGUUAAGUCCCGCAACGAGCGCAACCCUCGUUCUAUGUUGCCAGCGGGUUAUGCCGGGGACUCAUAGGAGACUGCCGGGGUCAACUCGGAGGAAGGUGGGGAUGACGUCAAAUCAUCAUGCCCCUUAUGUCUUGGGCUUCACGCAUGCUACAAUGGCCGGUACAAAGGGCUGCGAUACCGUAAGGUGGAGCGAAUCCCAAAAAGCCGGUCUCAGUUCGGAUUGAGGUCUGCAACUCGACCUCAUGAAGUCGGAGUCGCUAGUAAUCGCAGAUCAGCAACGCUGCGGUGAAUACGUUCCCGGGCCUUGUACACACCGCCCGUCAAGUCAUGAAAGUCGGUAACACCCGAAGC